CUCAAUAUCAGGUAAUACAUAUGAUUAGAAAUAUACUUCCUUACUGAACCAUGAGCUUUAUAGGCAUAUGAAUUUUUAGCUAUGUGAAGUAGAAAACUUAAAUUCUGGUAGACAUUUUCACAUACAUUUAAAGACAGAUUAUCUUAGUCCAAAAUUAUUUUUGUUUUUUUCCAGAAAUUUAGAAAGUGUUCUGCAACUAUAAAUGAACUGUGGGUCAAUCAUGUUUAGUUUAAGAGAUUAUCAAUGCAUGAGUUAUUGAACUGCUAUUGUCCUUAUCUUUAGCUCUUCAAAAUGUCACAGGUGGAAGUGAUGGGGACACGGUGAGCCACGGUAGUGUGGAUAGUUCUAAUGAUGCUAACAAUGGGGAGCACACAGUCUUCGUCAGAGAUUUAAUCAGGCUUGAGUCCAUUGAUAAUCACUCUAGCACAGGUGGUCAGUCUGACCAAGGAUAUGGGUCUAAGGAUGAACUUAUAAAGGAUGAU
rnacentral:sRNA from 1 species